GGCACUAUAGCCAAGUGGUUACGGCGACAGAUUCGAACUAAACGUCUUAUCUGUUUCCCUCUGGGAGCGCAGGUUCGAGUCCUGCUGGUGUCG